UACGAAGGGGGCUAGCUUUGUUCGGAAUUACUGGGCGUAAAGCGCGCGCAGGCGGUCUUCCAAGUCAGUGGUGAAAGCCCGGAGCUCAACUCCGGAAUUGCCAUUGAAACUGUUGGACUUGAGGAUGAGAGAGGUGAGUGGAAUUCCCAGUGUAGAGGUGGAAUGCGUAGAUAUCGGGAGGAACACCAGUGGCGAAGGCGGUUGCCUGGAGCUUUGCUGACGCUGAGGCGCGAAAGCGUGGGGAGCGAUCCGG
rnacentral:rRNA from 1 species